AGGCGUUUGAAACCAAUGCUGUAGUAUAAAGUGCAGGGUAAAAGGGAGAAGCCCCAGAGCAUUCACGUGUGGCGCUGGUGUGAUGCUGUGCUGUGCUGGGCCACCAGCCCUCGUGGGGCGGAAUCCCAGAGCAAGUGUCUCCGCGGGGACAUCUCGCCCUGCCAGGAGCUUCCCCACGCACGGCGGGAGCCUGCCCGUAGCUGCCACCACCUGCCCGUGUUCCCCGGCUUCGGAGAUCACCUGGGUGCUCGCCUCCGCUUUUUGUCAGGUGCUGAACCUGACACGGAGCUGGCGCUGCGGAGCGGGGUGGGCAGCCGGACACUGUGCAUGGAGCAUCUUGAGCAGUUGGUAACAUUUGGCAGCUUAACAUAGAAAAAAUGACUGCUAGGGAAAUCUCAACUGCCGCUAAUUAGCAGCAAUGAACUGUGGGUAAGGACAGUCCAUUUUAAUGUGAGAAGAAUUUUACAAUAACCACCACACUGAAAGAAAUAGAACGAAAUGCUCCCUAGCUGACCCUUGUGGCAAUCUAAGCUGCAUAUUGCAAUAAUCCUGUAAAUUACUAUGCUUUUUUAUACAGUAACUUGGAGUUAAUUAGUAAUUUAACAUUCCUCUACGCUAUUAAAUGUCUUUCUUGCAUUAUAUUAUGUUGUUUCAUGGUCUUACCUUAACACUAAUGGGGUUUAGUUAUAUUUUCUCAAAACAGUAACAGUAAAAUAAAACCGAG
rnacentral:lncRNA from 1 species